GAUGAACGCUAGCGGCAGGCUUAACACAUGCAAGUCGAGGGGUAUGCCGAUUUAUCGGCAGAGACCGGCGCACGGGUGCGUAACGCGUAUGCAAUCUACCUUUCACAGAGGGAUAGCCCAGAGAAAUUUGGAUUAAUACCUCAUAGUAUAGCGGUUUCGCAUGAAACCACUAUUAAAGUUCCAACGGUGAAAGAUGAGCAUGCGUCCCAUUAGUUAGUUGGUAAGGUAACGGCUUACCAAGACAAUGAUGGGUAGGGGUCCUGAGAGGGAGAUCCCCCACACUGGUACUGAGACACGGACCAGACUCCUACGGGAGGCAGCAGUGAGGAAUAUUGGUCAAUGGGCGCAAGCCUGAACCAGCCAUGCCCGCGUGCAGGAAGACGGUCCUAUGGAUUGUAAACUGCUUUUAUACAGGAAGAAACACUCCGACGUGUCGGAGCUUGACGGUACUGUAAGAAUAAGGAUCGGCUAACUCCGUGCCAGCAGCCGA
rnacentral:rRNA from 1 species